GGAGAGGUGACCGAGCGGCUGAAGGUGCACGAUUGGAAAUCGUGUUUUCACUUUAUCGUGGAACGAGGGUUCGAAUCCCUCCCUCUCCG
rnacentral:tRNA from 1 species